CCUCAGUCCUCGCUGACACACAUGUAGUUAGUUUGUAGCGUCAUUGCUGAAGAACUGCAGGCAAGCACUUAGCAGACUCUAUGUGAGCUGGAUGCAAAAGAUGCCUCAUCCAAGGAUGUCUCCCGCUAGCAGUAUGUAAAUAUACCUGCAGAUUGACUGUUCUAGGCUUUCCAGAGAGGCAGAGCCAGGUCUUGUUAAUUCACAACAAGCCAGAAGCAAGAUCUAAUUCCAUUGCAGCCUUCAGAUUGGGAAUUUCGAGGACUCUUAUCAGUUUCAUUUUCCUAUCACAAGAAUGUUUGCCUCUAUCUGGUAUGCCAAAAAGCUGGGACGGAGGUUUGUACAAAAUGCAAG